rnacentral:rRNA from 1 species
GGGGGAGCACCACCAGGCGUGAAGCCUGCGGUUUAAUUGGAGUCAACGCCGGGAAUCUUACCGGGAGCGACAGCAGAAUGAAGGCCAGAUUGAAGAUUUUGCCGGACGAGCUGAGAGGAGGUGCAUGGCCGUCGCCAGUUCGUGCCGUGAGGUGUUCUCUUAAGUGAGAUAACGAACGAGACCCGUGCCACAUGUUGCCAUCAGUAUCUAUAGGAUAGCUGGGCACUCUUGUGGGACCGCAGCCGAUAAGGCUGAGGAAGGUACGGGCAACGGCAGGUCAGUAUGCCCCGAAUCUCCCGGGCCACACGCGGGCUGCAAUGGUACAGACAGAGGGCUGCGACCCCGAAAGGGGGAGCCAAUCCCUAAACUGUAUCUCAGUCGGGAUCGAGGGUUGCAACCCACCCUCGUGAACAUGGAAUGCCGUAGUAAUCGCCAGUCAGUC